UACGGGGGGGGCAAGCGUUGUUCGGAAUUACUGGGCGUAAAGGGCUCGUAGGUGGCUAACUAAGUCAGACGUGAAAUCCCCCGGCUUAACCGGGGAACUGCGUCUGAUACUGGAUGGCUUGAGUUCGGGAGAGGGAUGCGGAAUUCCAGGUGUAGCGGUGAAAUGCGUAGAUAUCUGGAGGAACACCGGUGGCGAAGGCGGCAUCCUGGACCGACACUGACGCUGAGGAGCGAAAGCCAGGGGAGCAAACGGG
rnacentral:rRNA from 1 species